UACGUAGGUCCCGAGCGUUGUCCGGGUUUAUUGGGCGUAAAGCGAGCGCUGGUGGUUUAUUAAGUCUGGUGUAAAAGGCAGUGGCUCAACCAUUGUAUGCAUUGGAAACUGGUAGACUUGAGUGCAGGAGAGGAGAGUGGAAUUCCAUGUGUAGCGGUGAAAUGCGUAGAUAUAUGGAGGAACACCGGUGGCGAAAGCGGCUCUCUGGCCUGUAACUGACACUGAGGCUCGAAAGCGUGGGGAGCAAACAGG
rnacentral:rRNA from 1 species